UACGUAGGGGGCGAGCGUUAAUCGGAAUUACUGGGCGUAAAGCGUGCGCAGGCGGUUUUGUAAGCCGGAUGUGAAAUCCCCGGGCUUAACCUGGGAACUGCAUUUGUGACUGCAUAGCUAGAGUACGGUAGAGGGGGAUGGAAUUCCGCGUGUAGCAGUGAAAUGCGUAGAUAUGCGGAGGAACACCGAUGGCGAAGGCAAUCCCCUGGACCUGUACUGACGCUCAUGCACGAAAGCGUGGGGAGCAAACAGG
rnacentral:rRNA from 1 species